CCUACGGGGGGCUGCAGUCGAGAAUAGUCUACAAUGGACGAAAGUCUGAUAGUGCGACGCCGCGUGAACGAAGAAGCCCCUCUGGGGUGUAAAGUUCUUUUAUAUGUGAGCAAUGACCGCCAGGUGAAUAGUUUGGUGGUAGAGAUAUUAGCAUAUGAAUAAGCAACGGCUAACUCCGUGCCAGCAGCCGCGGUAACACGGGGGUUGCGAGCGUUGUCCGGAAUUACUAGGCGUAAAGGGCAGGUAGGCGGAUAUAUAAGUUUGAUGUUAAAGGCGACGGCUCACCCGUCGUAAGGCAUUAGAUACUGUAUAUCUGGAAUGCGGUUGGGGAAGACAGAAUUCCUGGUGUAGCGGUGGAAUGCGCAGAGAUCAGGAGGAAUACCGAAGGCGAAGGCAGUCUUCUAAGCCGUAAUUGACGCUAAACUGCGAAGGUGUGGGUAUCAAACAGGAUUAGAUACCCCGGUAGUC
rnacentral:rRNA from 1 species